GACUGGGUAGCCUAGUGGUUAAGGCAUCACAUACGAGUUGUGUCCCUACACAUGUAAGGGUCCUUGGUUUGAAUCCAAGUCUAGUCA
rnacentral:tRNA from 1 species